GAAGAAUUAGUUAAAAUAUAACAUUAGAGUGUCAAUCUAAAAUUAUCUUAAAGAUACUCUUCU
rnacentral:tRNA from 1 species